rnacentral:rRNA from 1 species
UACGGAGGAUGCAAGCGUUAUCCGGAAUCAUUGGGCGUAAAGCGUCCGCAGGUGGCGUAUCAAGUCUGCUGUCAAAGACUAGAGCUUAACUCUAGGCAGGCAGUGGAAACUGGUAAGCUAGAGUACGGUAGGGGUUGAGGGAAUUCCCAGUGUAGCGGUGAAAUGCGUAGAUAUUGGGAAGAACACCAGUGGCGAAGGCGCUCAACUGGGCCGUAACUGACACUGAGGGACGAAAGCUAGGGGAGCGAAAGGGAUUAGAUACCCCUGUAGUCCUAGCUGUAAACGAUGAACACUAGGCGUUGCUUGUAUCGACCCGAGCAGUGCCGUAGCCAACGCGUUAAGUGUUCCGCCUGGGGAGUACGCACGCAAGAGUGAA